ACGAAGGGGGCGAGCGUUGUUCGGAAUUACUGGGCGUAAAGGGCGCGCAGGCGGCCUUUGAAGUCAGGCGUGAAAGCCCCGGGCUCAACCUGGGAGGUGCGCUUGAUACUCGAAGGCUGGAGUACGGGAGAGGAGAGUGGAAUUCCCAGUGUAGAGGUGAAAUUCGUAGAUAUUGGGAAGAACACCGGUGGCGAAGGCGGCUCUCUGGACCGUAACUGACGCUGAGGCGCGAAAGCGUGGGGAGCAAACAGGAUUAGAUACCCUGGUAGUCCACGCUGUAAACGAUGUGCGCUAGACGUUGGGGGACUUAGUCCCUCGGUGUCGCAGCUAACGCGUUAAGCGCACCGCCUGGGGAGUACGGCCGCAAGGUUA
rnacentral:rRNA from 1 species